AAAAAGGCAAAACCCGGGUUUCCGUGUCCAACUUUAACUGUCCGUCUUAUAUGAAAAUUUUUUAUAAUUCGUAUUUUCAUUGUUAUUAGAUGAUAAAACAUGAUUAAUAUUUUAUGUGUGACUUGUCUUUUUAAUUUUUUUUAUAAUUUUUUUAAAUAAGAUGAACGGUUAAACGGUGGGCACGGAAACUAGGGUUUGUCUUUUU
rfam:Oryza barthii chromosome 8, whole genome shotgun sequence.